GACACUAUAGCCAAGUGGUUACGGCGAUAGAUUAGAAUUUGUUUAUUAUCUAUUUCCCUUUGGGAGCGUAGGUUCGAACCCUACUGGUGUCG